rnacentral:rRNA from 1 species
AGUGAACGCUGGCGGUAGGCCUAACACAUGCAAGUCGAGCGGCAGCACAGUAAUAGCUUCUUGAUACAGGUGCCGAGGGGCGGAUAGGGCCUAAAUACAUCCGAAUCUACGGGGUCGAGGGGGAGAACGUAGGGACACAUACGCUAUUACUGCAUACGACCUACGUGUGAAAUCAUCGGAUCUUCCGCUCUCACAUGAUUCGAUGUCGGAUUAGCUAGUUGGUGGGGUAAAGGCCUACCAAGGCGACGAUCCGUAGCUGGUCUGAGAGGAUGAUCAGCCACACUGGAACUGAGACACGGUCCAGACUCCUACGGGAGGCAGCAGUGGGGAAUAUUGGACAAUGGGCGAAAGCCUGAUCCAGCCAUACCGCGUGGGUGAAGAAGGUCUUCGGGUUGUAAAGCACUUUUGUUGGGAAAGAAAAGCAGCAGGUUAAUACCCUGCUGUUCUGACGGUACCAAAAGAAUAAGCACCGGCUAACUUCGUG